rnacentral:lncRNA from 1 species
AAUUACCUACAGACAACCGAUGUGAAAUCUGAUAGCUUGGAUGUCACAAAGUUUAAGAAAAACUCUUUUGAACUUUGAGUUGGUCAAUGAAAUAAAGCAGCCACCCAAAUUCACAUCCAGUGGUCAGAUUUAUUGUGCCCAUCUUGUACCAAAGGUAAAUGGUCUCAUUAUAUACUUUCCCUUAUUAAAAACAUUGGAAAAUGAUUUUUUUUAAUUCAUAAAUUCAAAUGACAAAAAUAAAAUAUCAAAAAAUUCACAAAAAUUCAAAUAAACAUUUCAAAAAUCAUAUAAUAUAAAAUUAAUUAAUUUUAAUGGGAAUCAAAUCCGAUCUAAGAAUUUAUCAAUGCACAUGAGCACUCCACUUUCAACUGCGGACCACGAUUAACCUAUUUUUCUCAAUCUGACCCAGCAGUUUUCAUGAUCCACAGUCCACUGCAAGGGCUCAUGAUUGGACCACCAAAGUUAGCCAAUAGACUAGGGGACGCAAUCCCAGUCUAUGGAUUUCAAGUUCUUCCCUAGAGAUAAAACCAUGGUUCCUCAGACCAUGAUGCAAUUACGACUCAAUGGUGCAUAAGGGUAAUCUCUCGUACUUGUACAUGCUUCACCCUCAAUGAUAAAUCUCAAUACGUCUAUCUAUGUACAUGUCGUGUGAUAAUAUAACGAUAAGGUUUUAGCCUUAUCUCUAAAGCUAUUCAUCAUACAAAGGUCAC